rnacentral:rRNA from 1 species
AUGCAGUCGAGGGGUAGAGUUCUUCGGAGCUUGAGACCGGCGCACGGGUGCGUAACGCGUAUGCAAUCUACCUUUCACAGAGGGAUAGCCCAGAGAAAUUUGGAUUAAUACCUCAUAGUAUGCAGAGUUGGCAUCAACCCUGCAUUAAAGUCACAACGGUGAAAGAUGAGCAUGCGUCCCAUUAGCUAGUUGGUAAGGUAACGGCUUACCAAGGCUACGAUGGGUAGGGGUCCUGAGAGGGAGAUCCCCCACACUGGUACUGAGACACGGACCAGACUCCUACGGGAGGCAGCAGUGAGGAAUAUUGGACAAUGGGCGCAAGCCUGAUCCAGCCAUGCCGCGUGCAGGAUGACGGUCCUAUGGAUUGUAAACUGCUUUUGCACAGGAAGAAACAACUCUACGUGUAGAGUCUUGACGGUACUGUGAGAAUAAGGAUCGGCUAACUCCGUGCCAGCAGCCGCGGUAAUACGGAGGAUCCAAGCGUUAUCCGGAAUCAUUGGGUUUAAAGGGUCCGUAGGCGGUUUAGUAAGUCAGUGGUGAAAGCCCAUCGCUCAACGGUGGAACGGCCAUUGAUACUGCUAGACUUGAAUUAUUAGGAAGUAACUAGAAUAUGUAGUGUAGCGGUGAAAUGCUUAGAGAUUACAUGGAAUACCAAUUGCGAAGGCAGGUUACUACUAAUGGAUUGACGCUGAUGGACGAAAGCGUGGGUAGCGAACAGGAUUAGAUACCCUGGUAGUCCACGCCGUANACGAUGGAUACUAGCUGUUGGGAGCGAUCUCAGUGGCUAAGCGAAAGUGAUAAGUAUCCCACCUGGGGAGUACGUUCGCAAGAAUGAACUCAAAGGAAUUGACGGGGGCCCGCACAAGCGGUGGAGCAUGUGGUUUAAUUCGAUGAUACGCGAGGAACCUUACCAGGCUAAAUGUAGAUUGACGGU